UACGAAGGGGGCUAGCGUUGCUCGGAAUCACUGGGCGUAAAGGGUGCGUAGGCGGGUCUUUAAGUCAGGGGUGAAAUCCUGGAGCUCAACUCCAGAACUGCCUUUGAUACUGAAGAUCUUGAGUUCGGGAGAGGUGAGUGGAACUGCGAGUGUAGAGGUGAAAUUCGUAGAUAUUCGCAAGAACACCAGUGGCGAAGGCGGCUCACUGGCCCGAUACUGACGCUGAGGACGAAAGCGAUGGGAGGCAAACAGGG
rnacentral:rRNA from 1 species